GUCUAUGGCCAUGCCACCCUAACAUGCCCAGUCUGAUCAUGGAAGCUAAGCAUGGUCAGGCAUGGUUAGAAUUUGAGAAGGGGAAAUAGCAGUAAGCCGCAAGUA
rnacentral:rRNA from 1 species